rnacentral:rRNA from 1 species
UACGUAGGGUGCAAGCGUUGUCCGGAAUUAUUGGGCGUAAAGAGCUCGUAGGCGGUCUGUCGCGUCUGCUGUGAAAACCUGGGGCUUAACCCCGGGCCUGCAGUGGGUACGGGCAGACUAGAGUGCGGUAGGGGAGACUGGAAUUCCUGGUGUAGCGGUGAAAUGCGCAGAUAUCAGGAGGAACACCGGUGGCGAAGGCGGGUCUCUGGGCCGAUACUGACGCUGAGGGGCGAAAGCGUGGGGAGCGAACAGG